UUUUCUAUGCGUUAUUUCAUUAUAGUUUAUUUGUUCUAAAAAGAGUUCAAUGAUUAAUGACAUUCGCAGCAAGAGUCUUUCUCCUAAGAAGAAUGUUUAUAGCAGCAACUAAAAUUUAUCAUACUUGUCCUGCACUAAAUUGCUAAUUCAUUUUUAUAGAUAUACGCAAAGAAGAUUGAACAUAUAAAAAACCCGAGAAGUUUGAUCAUAUAACUGAAUGAAUAAAAGGAAACCCGCCAGAGAAAACUGAUUUUUAUAUUGCAUUACUGAAAAAAUUGCAAUCAAUGCACCUAAGUAGGAUUAUAUAACACUUGGAAAAAAAAGUAAUAUCCUAAACAACAACUAACUAAAAGGUUUGCAAUGCAAUAACAAAUCUUUUUUCAAUUUUAAUUCCUCCUAUACAAUAAAA
rnacentral:misc_RNA from 1 species